ACGACAGCCAGGAGGAGUACGGUACCAGGGAGGAAUUGCCCAAGAAGGACAGGAUCCAGUAUCACUGCUGCCCAAAGCUGCAUGGGGCUAUGAUGUAUCCAGUAGCAUCGAAGGGCAUUGGUUCUGUAGAACACCAGAAAGAAGACUGAGAACUUUCUAACUAAUCAUUGCCACUUCUACUGCACCUAGCUUCUCCAAUAUGGACUACCAUCCAACUACUGACCAGGUCUGAACCUGAUUUGUUUAUUGGUUGUGACAAGAUUACAGCCUAAGGCAAAAGAAAAGUUUUGAGGAGGAUUUUGAAGGAAGAAAGAGAUUUGGAAGAAAAUAUAUUAAACUGGCAAUGAAAAUGAAGAAAAACUGAGAAGUGAAAAAAAAGCCCUAAAGCUGUAAUAGUUAAAGUUUGUUUAUUUAAUUUCAGAUAUUUUUGUUAACAUAUUUUAUGUGUUUUUUUUUAAAUAUCAGUGUUUGGUGUUGUAUGCAGGGUAGUUGUACCUGUGUUGGUCCCAGGAUAUUAGAGAAACAAGGUGAUGAGGUAAUGUCUUUUACUGGACCAAAAGCUUAUCUCUCCACCAACAGAAGUUGGUUCAAUAAAAGAUAUCUCAUUCACCUUGUCUCUCUAGUGUUUGCCGGACAGCCCCACAGCGCAGGAGCGGGAGAGACUGAGGGGAGCUCGCCCCAGCACACCCAAGGCAGCCCCCAGCCAUGACACCAGCCGGCCCUGCCCAGCUUCUGGGGCAGAGGAGGCUGCUGCUGCCAAGGGCCUGGCUCCCCGGCCCUAUGUGGUGCCCAAUCACAUGGUGCCUGAUCUCCCUGCCCAGCACAGCCGGUCCCGCUUCUUGGGCCGAGCAGGAAGCAGCAUGGAGCUCGGCCGUGGCUGCUGAGUGAGGUAGCAUCGGAUCAGCCUCUGUGCGCGGGGCCCUGGAGUGGCUGCCCGGAUGGCUGUGCAGAGCAGGUACCAGCCGCAGCACGGCCCCUGCCCCAACACAGGAUACAGGGGCCUGCAGUCCUUCCAUAGCCCCAUGCCCCCCCAACGGCGCUGCUCCAUGCACCCCCCGAGCCCCUUCUCCAAAGGCGCUGGCUCUAGGAUUUUUGCUGCCCCCAAGCAAAAAAAAAAUGUUGACUGCUCCUGCUUCUUUUCAUGCCAGCCCCUUGCUCUGCCCCUUCCCAACCCCUUCCCCAAAUCCCUGGCCCCGCCUCCUCCCUCAAGCGUGCCGCAUUCCCUCCCUCCCUAUUGCUUCCUAAGGCUUCCCCCCGCAACCUCCCGCCCUAGCUCACCUCCACUCCGCCUGCUUCCCUGAACACGCCACCGCUCCGCUUUUGCCCCCUCCUUUUCAGGCGAGGGAGAGGUAGCAUGUUCAGGGCAUGCCUUCCAGCGGUGUCUGGGAGAAUGCUUCUUGGACUUAACAGUGCCUCAGUUAACAUUACUCUACUUUGAAAAUAUUAUUCUGUAAUGCACAUGUCAGUUUCCAAGAGUGAGUUCCAUUAGCUCUCAGGAUGUGUAUAUCCCUCUACGAAUGUCAUCCGAUACAAACCUGACUGUGAGUUUCUGUUGUCUUUAUUUUAUUUUCUUCUUCCCAAUAUUAUGAUGAAGUUUGAAUAAAUAGAUGUCUGUGUCAAACAUUUCCAUAUUCUGUGCCUUUUCAUGUGGUUACUCAAUACUGUUUCCAGAGAUGAUGAUAAAAUCUGUAUAACUACGGAUGCUGAGAGAUCAUCACUGCAGGGGAAAAAAUGAUCAUCUGACAAAGAUUUCACUGUAUGCGGUCUCAUUUUGGAUUGCAGCCAACUCUUUGUUGGCAACGUCUACUCAUUAAGAGAUCGAUCCUGCAAAAUGUUUAGUGCUCUGGCCCUGAUCCAGACAAGCACUUAAGCACGUGCUUGAUUUUAAGCAGAUGAAUUGGCACAUGGAAAUCAAUCUGUUUAAAUACUAUUCAGGUGUUAUAUUGAGUUUGUUUAAAUCAUUAAUCAACAAGACAUCAAGUGGUCAAGCUCAAUUGGUUUAUUAAUUAAAGAUUAGACAUCUAAAAUUAAUCAGCACGAUACAGAAAGAAAAUACACUCACCAAUCUGGGGUCCAGCACCUGAAGCCCACGAUGAUCUGAAUUGCUUCACAGUUUUAUGGGUAUUAUAGACCACUUAUUUACUUGUUUCUACACUUUGUCAUGAAUUAUGUAACUAACAUUGUCCAAUCAACAGCAAAAUAUGGUUGCUGGGUCUAGUGUGUGGGUGCUGUUGCUGGCCUGUGAUAUACAGCGGGUCAGCCUAGAUGAUCUGGUGGUCCCUCCUGGCCUUAAAUUCCAUGACUUUAUGACUCCCCUUUCCCCCUCCCCUCGCCCCUGGUUGAAUUGAUCUGGAUGUGCAAUACAAUAAUCAAAAGCUUAUGAUCUGUAGAUGGCAAAAGUGGAUUUGUUUUAUCAAAUCAGCCAGCUGGUAACUAACUGGCAUCACCAAUGGAGGUCAUUAUGUCUUCUCACUGGAAGACUGUUUGCUUCAUAGAGCUCACCAGAGCACAAGUUUCCUUAGCAAAACCAUAAAAAGCUUCCAUGUGACUUUUAAUAAGUGAGAUUUUAUGUUAUCUCAUUCUAUUUCCUUCUGUUAAUUAAUACAAAUGGAAUUUUAUUUUCUCAAGUACACUGAGCUAAGAAAAUUCAACAACAAAUACUUUAAAACAGUCUCAAUAUUGGCAUAAAAACAGGAUGUGACAGAAUAACCACAAAUGACAAGAAUUGUUAAUCAAAUAAUUUAAUAUAAGACUGACUAGUUUGUUAUAAUGCCUUGGGGAAAAUGCAAGACAAUGUUUUAAGAUUCAUACUACACUAGUAGUUGCUGUACAAGUCCGGUGGUUUAUAGCUUUGCUUUUUUUAUGCCUCUUUGUUUUGUGGUAAUUGGCUUAUUGUUAUUUACUGAUGGCAGUUAUAGGUUUUAUAAAUUUCCAUUUUCCUAUCUUCCUUAAUUUCCAGAGACUAACAAGACUUGUGUUCACUGAAGAUAACACAAAUACAAACAAAUUAAUAUUAUCCUAUUUUAGGGUGGAUAAAAAUCAAUGAUUUUUUUUAAAAAAAAAAAGCAAAAAAAUCGGUUUUUAUUUAAAUUAGAUUUUUUGAUAAAAUGCUUUUUGAGGGGAAAAAACCUAUCUAAAGAUAAUUUUAAGAUACAAUGUAAGAUAAGAUAAUUAUAAGAUAGAUAGUUAUAAAAUACAUUAUAGCUCAAAGAUAUCUCAUCAUGGAAUAGGGAUUAUAAAUUCUAAUUCUAUAGUAUGAGACAAUAUAUUAAUGUAAUGUUUAAGAAAAGUUUUGUAAAUGAGUUCCAAUAGUUCAUGGAUUAGGGACCCAAUCUUUUGGGGUUCUAGGGGCUUCUGUAUAGAUUAUUUAGGUUAAUCUUUCUAUCUAGCCAAUGGGACUCAGUGCUCAGUCUAGAAGAUACCAUCAGAGAUGCUUACUUUUGCAGUUCUCAAACUGUGGAUUUGUGUCUCCAGAGAUAACCUGUUUGUUAAAAGCAAAAAUGUUUUAACAUAAAUAAUAUAGAGAGGUGAGAAAUAACAGACGUCAACCCUAUUGUCCCUCUGCAAAUUUGUGUACAUAGAGUCAAUCCCUUACCUCUCUCUAAAAGUGGAAAGCUUCAAAAAGUUCAAUGAAUAGAAGAUUGUUGGGGGCAGAAUACAUAUGGACAAGGAGAAAAAGUCUGGAGAUAAAUGUGAGAAGGGAGGGACAGGCAGUAGAAACAAAAGUGAAACUGUUUGAGCAGCAUAUUCCAGAAGUCUUGAGGUCUUUCUGAGUGUAGCCUUCAUUGAUUUGAGAUCUACCAUACCAUUCUCUCACUAGAAGGGAAAAAUCUAUAAUGGCAGCAGGCUGUAAAAGAGACCCAGUUUGGGAAUAAGAAUUAUUCAAGAAAUCUACGUUUGCUGAUGAUGUUUUAAAGAAAGUCACACCAGUGAACUGGUGGAAGUCACUUAAGCAUUUGGAUUCAGAGACUGUUGAAGUGAUAAUCUCACUUUAAACAGCAGUAGCUUCUUCUGCCAGUGUAGAUAGAAUAUUUUUCUUCUGUUGGACUAAUUCAUUCCAAAUUGAGAAAUCGUUUGGGACCUGAAAAAGCAGGAAAGGUUGUUUUUCUUUUCCAGAUUAUGAACAAAACAGGAAAAUGAAGGUGAAGACAACUGAGUUAGCUGCAGAAGUCAGUAUUUAAGUUUCUCAUGUUGACCUGGCUGACAUAGUUGAUUUAAUGUUUGUUUGUUUGUUUGUUUUUUCAAUUUCAUUUAACUAAUUUUAGUUAAAUACAAUUUUAACUAAAACAAAUCUGAAUUUAAAAAACUUGAAUGUUUAAUGAAAUUCAAAAAUUCAUAUGCUUGUUUUGUUAAAAUAUUAUAUAUGUUUGCUGUUGAAGAAAAAAUCCAGAAUAUGUAAUGUUGUUGUUUUAGUUAAAUAAAACAAUUUAAAUGUCUGUCUGGUGAUGUUCUCCUCCUAAUACAGAAUGGCAAGAAAAUCCUCCAAAUAUUAAUGAUUAACCUGUUGAAUUGGAGAUAGUUCACUUCCCAAUGACUUCAUAAAUAUCUGCUUCAAUUACAUUUGGUAAAUGAAAUAACCAAACAAUCAUUCAUUUUCUGAUAUAGCUGUAAAACUAAUCUGAAAAGUUUUCAAA